rnacentral:misc_RNA from 1 species
GAACCCAGGAAUGUAUUGGAACUGUUUCUCGACGUGGAUCCCAGGAGUUCACAGCAGCUGAUAACUUGGGCAAAAUAAUGGUUUCCAGUAUUGACUGAAGAACUGAAGAAGGCAAUAGCUUCUCCCAAGAAUCCAAAAAACGAAGCAUUGGUUCAGGGUCCCUAGCCUGCCAGGUAUUGGUGCCAGAUAUUCUAACAGCAGGGAACACAACUUCCAUAAAUAGUUGAGUAUAAGGAGAUGCAGCAUCAGAGAUAGCAAAAAUAUCAUUACCUUGCAAAAGAUCCUUCCACAGUGAAACCACCUCCAGUCCAUGUGUUGGAGUUUGAAGUGGAUCCCAUCCCUGAAAAAUUCGAAUGAACAAAGGCAGAGCGUAUGAGCACGCUAUGCUUGACAAGUUGCAGAGUGUGUAUUCCUCAACAUACUGCUGCUGCAAGUCUGCAAAUGCUUUUGCAAGGGAGUCUAGCGUCAGGGUACCAGAUGUGCUCUCUUCCCCUAUCCGGUCCAAUAUACCUACAAUCUCUUCCAUAUUAUCAAACUGCCUUUUUUGACGAGCUGCCUCAGCUUGGAGCUUCUCCUUCUCCUUUUGCA